rnacentral:rRNA from 1 species
CACGUAGGGUGCGAGCGUUGUCCGGAAUUAUUGGGCGUAAAGAGCUCGUAGGCGGUGUGUCGCGUCGGCCGUGAAAACCUGCAGCUUAACUGUGGGCUUGCGGUCGAUACGGGCAUCACUGGAGUUCGGCAGGGGAGACUGGAAUUCCUGGUGUAGCGGUGAAAUGCGCAGAUAUCAGGAGGAACACCAGUGGCGAAGGCGGGUCUCUGGACAGUUCCU